AAAAUGCUUAGUUAGCACUUAGCGGGCAUAGACUCGUAAUGGCUAAACUUGGGUUGACAUGUGUUCCACGAUUAAUGUACUUGCUUGCUGUAGUUGAGGGUGGAUAAGAGUUCCGUAGUUAUUAAUGUCUAUGUCGUAUUCAAACUUACGUUGUCUUGGUGGGACUUGUGUGGUCGGUGAUGCUUUUGUGUGAUAAAUAGAAGAAAUAAAGAAAAGUCAUAUCAAGUUAAAUAAAUGCGUGUACUUGUGAUUGUCAUAGUUGUGUUGUGUAAAUAUACAAAAUGUGGUUGUCUUGUUAAUGGUGUUAAUGAUGAACGUUGAUAACGUACGAAUAGCUAGCGCUUACGUAUAGUCGUUGCAAUAUCUUACUAAGUGGUGUUUAGUUCGCUACCAUGUAUUGUAUAUCUUGUGAUAUUUUUCACCAUAUUCAUCCAUAUGCAUCUUGCAUCUCAUUUAGGACCGAGAGAUGCCGAUCGAGCAACUGACGUGGUGCCAACCACAAGAUGCAAUUGGUGGACGACCUGAAGGAUGGACAUAACCAGUGGAUGCUCGCCAAGCGAGUACCUCCCCCAGCAAACACUAUCUAAGUGUUAAAAUAAAGGCAAGCCC
rnacentral:lncRNA from 1 species